GAUGAACGCUGGCGGCGUGCCUAAUACAUGCGAGUCGAGCGAACGGACGAGAAGCUUACUUCUCUGAUGUUAGCGGCGGACGGGUGAGUAACACGUGGAUAACCUACCUAUAAGACUGGGAUAACUUCGGGAAACCGGAGCUAAUACCGGAUGAUAUUUUGAACCGCAUGGUUCAAAAGUGAAAGACGGUCUUGCUGUCACUUAUAGAUGGAUCCGCGCUGCAUUAGCUAGUUGGUAAGGUAACGGCUUACCAAGGCAACGAUGCCUAGCCGACCUGAGAGGGUGAUCGGCCACACUGGAACUGAGACACGGUCCAGACUCCUACGGGAGGCAGCAGUAGGGAAUCUUCCGCAAUGGGCGAAAGCCUGACGGAGCAACGCCGCGUGAGUGAUGAAGGUCUUCGGAUCGUAAAACUCUGUUAUUAGGGAAGAACAUAUGUGUAAGUAACUGUGCACAUCUUGACGUUACCUAAUCAGAAAGCCACGGCUAACUACGUG
rnacentral:rRNA from 1 species